rnacentral:snRNA from 1 species
UCAAGCUUUCAUUUGUGUGUUUUUAUUUGUUAUGAAUACAGAGAUGAGUGAUCCCUGCGCAAGGAUGACAUGCAAAUUCGUGAAGCAUUCCAUAUAUUU